rnacentral:lncRNA from 1 species
CUCAAAGAGGAUGGAAACCCAGAGAGAGGAGGACAGAGAUGAGGCAGAGACUAGGGGAAGCAGGAUAGCGACUGGUCGGGGGCAGAGACUCAGGGAGGAUAGAGACUUGGGAGGGACUCAGGAAGCAUAGCGACUGUGGGGCAAAGAGUCAGAGAGGGGAGGAUACAGACUUGGGAGGGCAGAGACUCAGAAACAGAAUGUUCGCAUUAGGGACAUGGUGUUGCGGGGAGCUGCCUCCCCCAGCCCCUGCUCCCUCCCUCACCGCCAGACUAUGAUGAGAGAAGCCACCUGCAUGACACCUUCACCCAGAUGACCCAUGCCCUGCAGGAGCUGGCUGCUGCCCAGGGAUCCUUUGAGGUUGCCUUCCCUGAUGCUGCGGAGAAAAUGAAGAAGGUCAUUACACAGCUUAAAGAAGGUAAAAUACACUCCAUCUCUCCUUCCCCAGACACACACACACAC